AUUAGCAUGGAAUAAUGAAAUAGGACGCGCGGUUCCUAUUUUGUUGGUUUCUAGGACCGCCGUAAUGAUUAAUAGGGACAGUCGGGGGCAUCAGUAUUCAAUAGUCAGAGGUGAAAUUCUUGGAUCUAUUGAAGACUAACUACUGCGAAAGCAUUUGUCAAGGAUGUUUUCAUUAAUCAGGAACGAAAGUUAGGGGAUCGAAGACGAUCAGAUACCGUCGUAGUCUUAACCAUAAACUAUGCCGACUAGGGAUCGGACGAUGUUAUUUUUUGACUCGUUCGGCACCUUACGAGAAAUCAAAGUGCUUGGGCUCCAGGGGGAGUAUGGUCGCAAGGCUGAAACUUGAAGAAAUUGACGGAAGGGCACCACCAGGGGUGGAGCCUGCGGCUUAAUUUGACUCAACACGG
rnacentral:rRNA from 1 species